rnacentral:rRNA from 1 species
GGACCUGACUGCUAUCGGAUUGAUACUAAGCCAUGCGAGUCUUUGUAGUAAUACAAGGCAGACGGCUCAGUAACACGUAGUCAAUCUAACCUAUGGACAGGGAUAACCUCGGGAAACUGAGAAUAAUACCUGAUAGAUCAUUAUACCUGGAAUGGUUUAUGGUCGAAAUGAUUUAUCGCCGUAGGAUGGGACUGCGGUCUAUCAGCUUGUUGGUGAGGUAAUGGCCCACCAAGGCUAUAACAGAUACGGGCUCUGAGAGGAGAAGCCCGGAGAUGGGUACUGAGACACGGACCCAGGCCCUAUGGGGCGCAGCAGGCGAGAAAACUUUGCAAUGUGCGAAAGCACGACAAGGUUAAUCCGAGUGUUUUCUGCUAAAGAAAUCUUUUGUCAGUCCUAAAAACACUGAUGAAUAAGGGGUGGGCAAGUUCUGGUGUAAGGG